CCUGGUUCCACCCCUCCCUAACCCUCAUUUAGGGGCUAGCUGCUACAAAAGAAGGAUCUCUACCCAGGGAUCCCUCCUUUUGAAGUAUUUGGUGAGUUCUGUUUCUUGGCACAGGUAUCAGAUUUCACUGGAAUGACUUGAGUAAGCUUUCACUCAAACUAAGAUUGGGGAUUAGCAACUAUUGGUAUUAUGAAGUAUCUCAGGACAGUGAUGGUACUGAUGUUUUAUCUCUGCUGCAAAGGAUCUCAGGAGUUCAUCAUAGAAUAAUGGAAUGGCCUGAGCUGAAAAGGACCACAAUGAUCAUCCAGGUUCAAACCCCAUGCUAUGUACAGGGUUGCCAACCACCAGACCAGACUGUCCAGAGCCACAUCCAGCCUGGCCUUGAAUGCCUCCAGGGAUGGGGCAUCCACAACCUCCUUGGGCAACCUGUUCUGGUGUGUCACCACCCUCUGUCUAAAAAACUUCCUGCUAAUAUCUCACCUAAACCUCCCCUGUCUCAGUUUAAAACCAUUCCCCCUUGUCUUAUCACUGUCAACCCAUUUAGACAGUUGUUUCUCCUCCAGUUUAUAUGCUCCCUUCAAGUACUGGAAGGAGGCGUCUGAGCUUAUCUUGGUUUAUUCUGAAUUGAGGUUCUUUCUCUGAACUGUGUUUUGGUUUAGUUUAGUUUAUAAUGAUAGUAAGAACAAUCAAGAUUAGAAAACCAAGCACAACCUCAUAAGAAAGAGGUAAUACAGAUGAAAGUCUUUGUAUAACAUUUUUAACUGUACUAUUAAUUAAACUUUCCUGUAAUUUUGUAUUUAAUUAAGUAAUUAGUAUUAGAUAGACUGUUAAGACUUUAAUUGUACUAACACUAAAUUCUUUGUUCGAUAUAUAUGGUGUACACUGUUUUGCCCUUAACAAGAAUUUUAGUAUAACAGGAUACUAAUGAGCUUGAAUAAUUAGGUAUCAGCAAAGGGAAAACAUUUGCAACUUUCUAUCUCUACUUUCACCAUGUAAAUAAUAAUUAAAAGAGCAUCCUCAUCAAAAAAAUAAUUAGAGUGUAUGAAGUACAUUGGCAAAUUCUGU
ensembl:lncRNA